UGUCCAGAACAUCCAAAAGGAGGGCGGCUGGGACAUGAUGGUGGACGUGGACACCCUCGAGAGAGGAGUCAGCUUGCUGGCCAGAGAGAUGAGGAAGAGCCCCGCUAAGCAGCGAUACCUCCUGUUCCAGCACGUCAAGGAGAUUCUUGACCAGAGGAGGGAAUGGCAGCUCAACUUUGCCAUGACUUUCUAUACUGAGCUGCUGGGCUGCCAGGGCCUAGGAAAGGAUCGGAGUGACGUGCGCCUCCUCCAUUCCUAC